rnacentral:rRNA from 1 species
GACGAACGCUGGCGGCAUGCCUAAUACAUGCAAGUCGAGCGAACGGAUGAAGUGCUUGCACUUCUGACGUUAGCGGCGAACGGGUGAGUAACACGUAAGGAAUCUACCUAUAAGCGGGGGAUAACAUUCGGAAACGGGUGCUAAUACCGCAUAAUAUCUUCUUCCGCAUGGAAGAAGAUUGAAAGACGGCUCUGCUGUCACGUAUAGAUGACCUUGCGGUGCAUUAGUUAGUUGGUGGGGUAAUGGCCUACCAAGGCGAUGAUGCAUAGCCGACCUGAGAGGGUGAUCGGCCACAUUGGGACUGAGACACGGCCCAAACUCCUACGGGAGGCAGCAGUAGGGAAUCUUCCGCAAUGGGCGAAAGCCUGACGGAGCAAUGCCGCGUGAGUGAAGAAGGCCUUCGGGUCGUAAAACUCUGUUAUAAGAGAAGAACAAAUUGUAGAGUAACUGCUACAGUCUUGACGGUAUCUUAUCAGAAAGCCACGGCUAACUACGUGCCAGCCGCCGCGGUAA